rnacentral:rRNA from 1 species
AGCAAACAGGANNNGAUACCCUGGUAGUCCACGCUGUAAACGAUGAGCACUAGGUGUAGCGGGUACUCAUUCCUGCUGUGCCGCAGCUAACGCGUUAAGUGCUCCGCCUGGGGAUUACGGUCGCAAGACUAAAACUCAAAGGAAUUGACGGGGGCCCGCACAAGCGGUGGAGCAUGCGGAUUAAUUCGAUGCAACGCGAAGAACCUUACCUGGGUUUGACAUAUGCCGGUAGCAGCCAGAGAUGGUUGUGCCUUUUGGGCCGGUUUACAGGUGGUGCAUGGCUGUCGUCAGCUCGUGUCGUGAGAUGUUGGGUUAAGUCCCGCAACGAGCGCAACCCUUGUCCUAUGUUGCCAGCGGUUCGGCCGGGAACUCAUAGGAGACUGCCGGGGUCAACUCGGAGGAAGGUGGGGAUGACGUCAAGUCAUCAUGCCCCUUAUGUCCAGGGCUUCACGCAUGCUACAAUGGCUGGUACAGAGGGUUGCGAUGCCGUGAGGUGGAGCGAAUCCCUUAAAGCCAGUCUCAGUUCGGAUUGGGGUCUGCAACUCGACCCCAUGAAGUCGGAGUCGCUAGUAAUCGCAGAUCAGCAUUGCUGCGGUGAAUACGUUCCCGGGCCUUGUACACACCGCCCGUCAAGUCAUGAAAGUCGGUAACACCCGAAGCCGGUGGCCUAACCUUUUUGGGGGGAGCUGUCUAAGGUGGGAUCGGUGAUUAGGACUAAGUCGUAACAAGGUAGCC